AUGCUUUUUAACAUCUUUAUGCGCCCCCUCGCCCAGCUUGUCCGGAGUUUUGGGCUGGGUUGCCAUCAGUAUGCCGAUGACACCCAACUCUAUCUGUUGAUGGAUGGCCAUCCUGACUCGGCCCCAGACACACUGACCAGAUGUUUGGAAGCUGUGGCUGGAUGGUUACGUGGAAGCCGGUUGAAGUUAAAUCCUUCGAAGACAGAGGUCCUCUGGCUGGGACGGGACGAUAUGGGAUUGGGGGCAACUCCCAUCUCUUGCGGGGUGCAAUUAGUGCCAGCACCGUCCGUUAAGAGUUUGGGUGUAAUCUUCGAUACCUCCUUUCUAUGGAGGCGCAGAUUACAGCUAUAACAAAGGUGGCAUUUUUCAUCUCCGCCAAGCUAAGCAGUUGGCCCCUUAUCUCUCUCGCCCUGACCUAGCCACUGUGAUCCACGCGACGGUCACCUCCAGACUGGAUUAUUGUAACUCGCUCUACGUGGGGCUGCCCUUGAGACUGACCCAGAAACUCCAGCGGGUGCAGAAUGCCGCGGCGAGACUCCUUAUGGGGUCUUCGCUGCGAGAUCACAUUCAUCCGGUACUAUACCAGCUGCACUGGCUCCCGGUGGAGUACAGGAUCAGGUUUAAGGUGCUGGUUUUAACCUUUAAAGCCCUAUACGGCCUAGGACCCUCGUACCCUACGGGACCGCCUCUCCUGGUAUGCCCCACAGAGGAACCUACGGUCUGCAAAUAAAAACAUCCUGAAGGUCCCAGGCCUCAGAGAGGUUAGGCUGGCCUCAACUAGAGCCAGGGCUUUCUCGGCUGCGGCUCCAAUCUGGUGGAACGCUCUGUCACAAGAGACUAGGGCCCUGCAGGACCUGACAUCUUUCCGCAGGGCCUGUAAGACAGAGCUGUUCCACCAGGCCUUUGGUCAGGGCCCAGCCUGACUCCCUCCUCUGGCAACCUGCACAGAACUUUGCUUAACGGUUGCCAUUAAUUUGAUUUUAAUUAAUUUUUAUAAUGAAAUGUUUUAGAAUGUUGGAUUAUUUGAUUGUUUGAUUAUUUGAUUGUUGUUAGCCGCCCUGAGCCUGGCUUUGGCUGGGGAGGGCGGGAUAUAAAUAAAAUUUAUUAUUAUUAUUAUUAUUAUUAUUAUUAACCUGAGGAUUGCUUGUAAUAAUAAUAAUAAUAAUAAUAAUAAUAAUAAUAAUAGUAAAUGUAUUUUUAAUCUCCUGUCAGAAGCCGCCCAGAGUGGCUGGGGAAACCCGGCCAGAUGGGCGGGGUAGAAAUAAUAAAUUAUCAUCAUCAUUAUUAUUAUCAAGUAGGGGCAGGAAUCACUAAAACGCCCCCAAGAUGAAACAACAUGAAGGUUUUCGUCCACCAUUGGGGAUUAUUGCAGUAAGAGGUCCCAACACACUUGACUGGUGUAUAGAUUUUAAAAUGGAGCUUGGCAUGCACUUAAGAAACCUAAAAUGAAAAUUAAGAUCCAUUGGAAAAUAUAGUCUGGCCCCCCACAAGGUCAGAGGGACAGUGGACCGGCCCCCUGCUGAAAAAGUUUGCUGACUCCUACUAUAUGGUAAUUUAGGGACCUAAUAGGUCUCUAAAGCCAUUUGCACAUAACAAAUAGGAGCCUACACAACACAAAACACUGUUGCUGUAGGUCAGUUUUAUUUUAUUUGUUUUUUAUCUUCUAUUUUGGAAAUGUACAUCCAGAGGUUUUUUCCCCUUUUAAAAUUUUUUGGGGGCCUCCAAGAGAGUGGGGCCCUAAACUAGAGCUUGUUGAGCUUAUACGUAAAUCCGGCACUGGGUGUCCUUCUGACUUUCCAAGGCAGCCCACCUUAGUCACCAAAAGCACAGAUGACCAGAGGUAUUUACGUUUUUAGACACGCUAUUCACAACUUAACAGCAACGGAAUGGCAAUAUGAAAGCAGAAUAGCUAAUAUUACGGAUGGAUUGAAUGACUGCCCCUUAUUGAUUUACCGCAUUUCCCCAUGUAUAAGACGCCCCCAUGUAUAAGAUGACCCCUCUUUUUUGAGCCCAAAAUAAAGAAAGAAAUAAUGGCAACAUUCCAUGUAUAGGACAAACCCCCCCCCCCCAUUUUAAGCUUGGGGAGGGGAAUAUAGUCUUAUACAGGGAAAAAUACAAUACCUUUCAUACCUAGACAAGAUAAAACAUUGUUUUUAGAUGCUACAACCACAGCAAGAAUAUUACUAGCCUAACGAUGAAAGCAAGAAGAGAUCCCAACGAAAGAAGAGAGGCAGAUGAAAUUAAUGGACUAUGCUGAAUUGGUGAAAUUGACUGGGAAAAUUCGGAACUGGCAGGACCAGAAUUUCUUGAAAGACUGGAAUAAAUUUAUGUUGUAUUUAAAAGACAACUGUAAACAAUUGACAUCACUAGUAGGGUUACAAGAAGCUUUGUAGGUUAAAUUAUCAUUUAUUACUUAAUGCAAUUCACAAAUUGUUUUUUAAGAUUAUGAUUUAACAGUAAUAUUAAUAAGAACAAAAUGCAUACCAGAGAUUGAGUUGGAAAACCAUUGCGUGGACAGGCGGAGUCCCCAGAUCCCGAGCGGUCCCCCCCCCCCCGUCAUGUGGAAUAACGACUCAAGACAACAUGCUAUGGGAUUAAAUUGGCCACAACUUUAUUAAAUUUCAAAUGUGGGUAGACCUUGGCUCAGGCAUUGGGCGUUCUCCCUCCCCAGUCCCCAGCCGGGGACCUAGGGAGCAUCAGGGUUAUCCAGUGUGGGGGGGGGGAUGGGCCGGCUCUGGAGAACAUAUGUUCAAGCAGAGAUAGCCGCCCCUGUUACGCCGCCGCUGCAGGGGAGAGCAAUGAUGACCUUUCGGCGUACGGUCAAAGCCUCCCUUCAGAAACCCCUUUAACGGGGAACCCUGGUAUCGCCGCCGCAAAGAGGAAGAUGGACUAAAGGAUUCCGCCCAAGGCCUGAUACCGCCAAAGUUGUGACGUUUUGCUACGGGAAAGGCGAAACCUGCCAAUGCAGGGAAAUUCCUUUCCGGCCCUUUAACAGCAACCUUGACGUAGCAACGCCCGCAUACCUGUGAAGAAAAGUUAACCUGCAAAACCUGUGAAGAAAAGUUAACCUGCAAAAUAAGACAUUAACUGAGGGUGGGUAGGGGGGAGAAGCUCUGGAGCCAAGUGAGGAUUCCCAGGUAAGAUCCUCCCUCUAUUGUGUGUGCAGGUAAUCCCUCCCAUACCUGGCCUGGUCUCCUUGGCAACGCUUCCCCCAGGUGGGAUUGGACAACUGACUGAGGUAGGCGGAGACCUCCAGGUAUCCCACCUGAGGGAAGGCAAGCCAAGCCUAUGCUGUUGGAGCCACUCCAGAUCUAGGGGCUGUGCGCGUCCAUGCAAAGGGCGCCCCCCGUUUUAAGCGGGGAGCGGUCAUUAGUCAAGGAGGGAAGUUCUAGGCUUAUCAGACAAACGUUUCUAUAUUUAAUUUAUAGGAAAGUUGUUAUGAUGGAAAAUUUUGAAAAACCAAUAAAAUUAUAAUUAUAAAUAUAUAUAUAUUAGAGAUUAAUUUGGAAAACCAUUAGUCGAGGAGGAGGGAAGUCUUAGGCUGAAAUAGCCAAAUGGUUUUAUAUUUUGUAUAAUAGAUGGAUGUUUCAAUGGAAAAUAUUUGGAAAAACCAAUAAAAAUUAUUAUAAAUAUUUUAAAAUACAGUACCUUUCCUCCUCUUCUCUUUGAGCUCUCUCCUGGUCUUCGUGCUCCCUCUGCUCCCUCGCAAGAUGGUGCUUCUCGGCCAAGAUCCUCGCUGCGUCUUCAGCUGUUGUGGUCGCCGGAGCGGUUUUGCUACUUGCAUCUGGAAAAAGAAGGGGUCGGAAUGAAUGGAGCCAGUUGUCGGCGCAACCGCCUUAUCCUCUGAAAAGCGUUCCCUGUAUUAAGUCCUGUUUCCUGCCUAGGCAGUGAAAGCCAAAAGUUAGCUAUUUUGUAUCAGAUGGGAUGUUAUGUUUGGAAAACAAGUGCAGAAACCAAUAAAAACAUUAUAUAUGUGUUUGUUUGUGCCUCCCAUGAGAUCGGACCCCCAGUAGUGCCAGAAAUUCAGGGUCAAUACAUUUGGAGGGAAACCAAAAUGCUCGUUGUCAGGGGUUCAGGGAGAGAGGCACAGGGUAGGCAGGAGAUGGAGAGCGAUGGGGAGGAAUUCCAAGCCAGCGAGGAAGAGGAUGACAAUGACUCAAGAGAUUCCAUGAGUCUUUCCAGCGAAUCAGAGGAUUCCCAGAAGGGGCGCCGGUGGUCAAGGCCAGGGAGCCCAAGGGGGGAAGUGUCAGGAGCAGGGUGCCAGCGGAGGAUCCCAAAGUGGCAGCUGGGCGUCAGGACCAGCCUCCCCACCAGAGUGCAGCGAAGGGGGUGGAGUUUCCAGUGUGUCAGAGGAAGCAGCUCCAGCAGCAGAGAAAGGAGGGGGUCAGAGCAAGCCGCCCUCCCGGAAGAGGAGGGGAGCAGUGAAGGGAGUAGUGUAACUGUCAAAAGGAAAGUUAGAGGUUUGGCGCGCGCGCCUAGUUCAAAUGUAGAGGCGCGCGGAAGUGCAGGGAGCCCGGAGGAGGGGCCAGGUCCCAAAGCCCGCAGGAGGGGGAAGAGCAGUCUGAUUCCGCGUCAGAGGAAUCCAGGAGGGGCGAAACCCCAGUGGGCAGAAGGACCCUGCGGAAAAGGAAGGAGAGAAAGCGGUGGAGCAGCGCAAGUCUCUUAAAUUGGUGCAGGGAGGGACUGACUCAGAGGGAACUUCAGCGGUCUAGCGUAAGAGACGUAAGGCUGCGCGCCUAGGAUGUCAAGCAAACCAUGAACUGCAAUAAACACCUUUGUAUAUAAGAAGACAUAGGCGUUGGUCUUUUGUGAGCUAAGACUUGAGGCAGCCUUGACACUCGUUUACAAAGCUAUUUUACUACCAACCUUACUGUAUGCUUGUGAAACAUGGACCACUUAUCAACGCCAUCGCCAACUCCUCCAAAGUCUCCAUCAGAGGCAGGUAUGACCAAAGUUUUGGUGGACCUGUGGCAGUAUAUAUGUCAUGGGGUAAAAUCCUAAAAAAAGCUCAACAACUUUGGUUGGUCCUCACGCAUGUUCACUUCAUCAAAUCUGGCCCUAUUUGAAAAAAGUUUGGGCACCCCUGAUCAAAGGUGUCUCUGGAAAUUUUUACAUAUCACUCGGGAAUGCAGGCGAACUAAUGCCAGCGUACUGGAAGAAGCAAAGAUUGCCAGUGUUGAAGCAAUGAUUCUUCAACCUCAACUUUUGACCAGUCGUGUUGCGUAUCAUCUUCCAAAGCAACUCCUCUAUUCCGAAUUUAAGAAUGGAAAGCGUCGUGCUGGUGGUCCACAAAAGAGGUUGACAGAUUUCAAGGCAAAGCUGAAAAAACGUAGUAUAACACCGACAACUGGGAAACACUGGCCGGUGAGCGCUCCAAUGGGAGAACAGCCUUGACCAAAGGUGUCCUGGGCUUUGGAGACACUCGAACUCAGGACGCAAGGGAGAAACGGGUGAAGAGGAAGGAAGCCUCACCGGUAUCGACUCCCGCCUGGAAACCAAUGUCCCCACUGUGGAAGGACAUGCGGAUCCAGAAUUGGCCUGCACAGUCACUUGCAGACUCACUGUUAAAACUGUGUUUAUGGAAGACAAUCUGACUUGGCUACAAGGGAUCGCCAAAGAGAGGAGGGGGGGAGGAGGGGGAGAAAAAUAAAAAGAAGGAGGAGAAAAAGAAGGAGGAGGAGAUCCUGAAGGUAGAGUAAGGUGAUCCUCACCUUCAAUUCAGUAAAGAACAAGAGCCCAAUUAGCACAACCCCUCGAGUUGAUGUAGGAGUUCCCAUAGCUCUGUGGAACGGUACAUGCAAUGGAGGUAGAAGACCUCCAGUUCAAGCCUUAUAAAGUUAUAAAGACCAGGGUGGAUUUGAUUGAAAUCCAAUCAAUUUAAAUCCCGAUUUAAAUCACUAGUCAGUAAGACUUACCGUAAUUUAAAUCAUUUUUUUUAACAGAAAGGUUCAACCUUGCUGGCAUCCUCUUCAUAUUGACAACCAGAGGAAGGUUUCCUUUUUGGAGGAAUAAUUUUUUACAGUUCUAUCAAAAUGACUGAUUUGGUUCUACUCUUAGAAAUACAUUGACAGAUAAUGAUGAAAUGAUGGUGAGGUUUAAUAAGUUAACGGUUUCUGUUUGGACAACUUUUCUGCUGUACAGUCAUACCUCGGGUUCAAGACGCUUCAGGUUGCGUUUUUUUGGGUUACGGACCCACCAAAAUCCGGAAGUACCAGAACGGGUUACUUCCAGGUUUCAGCGGUUGCGCAUGCGCAAAAACGCUAAAUUGCGCUUUGCGCAUAAGCACCAAAUCGCAACCCGCGCGUGCACAGAUGCGCUGCUGCGGGUUGCAAACACUGCGGGUUGCGAAUGUGCAUCCUGCACAGAUCACGUUCAGAACCUGAGCGUCCACUGUACUUGAUUGGAAGGAGAAAAAUAAUCAUUUCUGUUAUGUGUGCCGGUGUGGUUGCUCGAGAGCGAACAGGCAAGACCCCCACUGGUCUUUUCAAAGUCUUUAUUAUCGAUGCAAAAACAUUCACAGUGCAGAACGUCUCAAUUCCAUGUUUUGCUCAGUCACUAGCAGAAUCUGGGAGUGGGCGGUCCUUAAACUUUCCCCAGCAGAAUAGUCUCUUUGACCCCCAUCCUACGCCUCCCCUCUCUGCGCGUAAACCUACUGCUCAGAGAGGGCGUGGGCAGAGGGGGACCUGCCUCCCCCCCCUGCUUAUUUCAGGCUCAGUGCUCUGGCUCUCCCUUGCAUACUCUGAGCCCUGCAUCCCUUCUAGGGCCCUGCAUCCCUUCCCCACUGGAGGUGUAGCUUCCCUCCUCCACAGAGGAAGUGCUGCUUCUCACGAUCUUUGGAUGCUCCCUGUAACCCAACUGCCCUUCCACCUCUCGCCUCUGAGCUGAUGGCAGUUCCCUGAAAAUUUCCUUUGUAACAAUUUAAACCAUUUAUUUCGCUAAAACAAUAACAUGGUAGCAUAUGGAUCCAUGUUUGUUAACUGAUGUGGUUAAACUAUUAGAAAUACAUUGAAAGAUAAUUAUGAAAUUAUUGUGUGGUUUAAUAAGUUAACUGCUUCUAUUUGGACAACUUUUGUGCUGUACUAGAUUGGAAGGAUAAAAAUAAUCAUUUCCUUCAUAACAAUUUAAACAAUUAAUUUCACUAAAACAAUAACAUGAUAGCAUAUAACAAGUUUAAUCAAGAUGGCGCUGGGGUAAGACGCACCUGUUAGAGCUCCUCAAUUAGAUGUUGGGGGCUCCUACUCCUACAAAAGGCUAAACUAAUUGUAAAUAAUGUGGUGACGGAAGAAUUUAGGAUAGAAAAAGGGACAAGACAAGGUUGCCCAAUUUCCCCAUUGCUUUUUAUAUCGGUCCUGGAGGUUUUGCUGAAUAUGAUUAGAAGGGAACUGACUCUGACUCAGGCUUUGACUCGGCGUUUUAAAUGAACUAAGGGAGGUGGAGCUGUGUUGCAGGAGUGUUCCGUUUGGGCUUGCCUCUGCCCUCUUGGCUUGUGGGUCCAACUGUGCUGUGUGCCUGCUCUGUCCUCCCAGCUGUGGGUCCGGCUGUCUUGCAUGCCAGCGGUGCUCCUGGACUGAGACACACUGGUUGAGUGCUCGGCAUGGAGCCUGGGUCAAGAUAUAUUACUCUGCAGAUGACUCAAUUGAAAGGCAUCUAGGGAAGCCGGGGGGGGGGGUUCCACCCUCAAGAAGCCAGAGACUCUUAAGCCACAGGGCUGGCAGCUGGUUGCAGCAGAGGAGAGGUAUCAUCCUGUGGCCCUGAGAACACCAGCUGUGGGGGAAACCAGAGGACUCCUGAUGCCAAGAGGAACACCUUCUCUGCCACUACAAAUGCUAGCGCAACAGCAAGAGGAGGGCCCCCUGAGACCAUCGGGCAUGGCAUUGACAUCGAACAGGCAUUUACUGAGCCUGCCCCGCCUUCCUCUGCCCAUGCCCCGAUGUCGCCUGGUUGUUCAGGUUGGCAGAUUCAGAGAUCAUUCGAGCAGACUCGAGCUGACACAUGAUGCUACAAGAACUUUGUGUUGCUACAAGAACUUCGUCUGCUACAAGAACCAUUUCCCCCCUUUUCCCCCUCCCCCCUUCCUUUGCCAUUUGUUUUAGUCCUUUGUUUCAUGAUAAUAUUUGUCCAUUGUUUCAUGAUAAUAUUUAAGUUUUUGCUUGCUUACUGUUAGAUGCUUGAUUGUUGUUCUCCUGUUAUUUAGGUGUUUUUUCUUUCUUUGUGUACGUUAUAUGGUAGUUCUGUUUAGCUGUGGAAUGUUUUGGGGUUUAUUUUUUAAUUUAAUUAAUUGGUUUGUCUAAUAUUAUAAUAGUAGGCUGACAAAGAAUAUAAUAGUUUCAUAUAAUCAGAGAGGUAGCUGAUGUUUAGCUGGCUUGUUCUACUCGACUAAUUAGAGUUAUCGAGUUGUUGAUACUAUAAGCAGAACAACUAGGCUGGGAAAGAAUAACAUCAAUUGCCAUCAAUAGAGGCUAGUAUGAGGCUUGGGAUUGCUACCGUGGAGGGGCGAGGGAGGUAUGGCGGUGGGGGCAGAUGUCAUAGGCGAAGGGGAUCGAGAUACGGAUAUGCUCGUACCCCUUCCAAUCUGCGCCCCAUCCCGAGGGACGAGGGUAGGGUGAGCAAGGAUUACUCACUGAGGAGAUUUCACCCCUCCCAUAUCCAAGAAUCUCCUGAGGAGUCUGCUGAUUCUCCAGAGAGGAGGAGGCGUGUUCUGCUCUCUACUUAUUCUGCUCCAGCACCGAGUCAGUCAGUCAGUCAGUCAGUGUCGGAGAGAGAGAGAGAGAGAGACUGAGUGUUAGAGAUCGUGUGUAGAGAUAAGGUUGCUGCUAAGAGCAGCUGCAGACACUCAGUGCAGUGCAGCAUUCAUUUAUGCUUAGACCUAUUUAGCUCUGUAUAUAGUUGUAUAAUAGUUGUAGAUAGAAUAAAGAAGAUAUUCUACAGAGCUGCUCUCCGAGUUGUUUAUAUACUCUGCUAGAGUCUGCUGUACUCUGCUGUGCGACGACUGUCUUCUUGUGGAAGUGAAUCUGGUGCUCACAACUCUAAGCUGUGAGUCCACAGCACUUUGACCUGUUCCUGUGCAGAAGGUGGUCUCUGGAAGUGCUACCCAGCUCGCCUAGCCCAGUCGGGGCUGAAGUGGAUGAGUCCAGUUGGUGGCACUGGCUCUAGGGCGAUGCUGACACUCACCUCCGUCACUGGUGCUGUGCAAUGCCAGGUCUAUAGGCAACAAAACCACCACCCUGCAAGAUUUCUUUACCUUGCAGGGGGUCGACCUGGCUUGUGUGAUGGAGACCUGGGUGUGCGAAGGGGAAAUAGUUAACUUACGAGAGAUGGCGCCCCCGGGUUUCUCCGUCCUCCACCAGUCGCGGACUGUGGGCCUGGGGGGGAUAGAGGGGUGGCAUUAUUAAUCCGGGAAGAUUCUUCUUUCAGGGCUCUACCAUCGCAAUCGAUCCCCAGCAUUGAAUGUGUUGGCCUAGUGUGAGGAGAGCUUGGCUGUCUGGCCGGUGUACUGGCCACGUAGCGCACCAGCAGCCACCUUGUCAGGCCUACUGGAGGCAGUGGCCAGCUGGGCCUUGGAGUUUCCUAACCUAUUGGUAUUGGGGGACUUCAACAUCCAUGCUGAUGCCACUCCCUCCUCACAGGCUCUGGACCUGGUGUCUUCCAUGGCAACACUAGGGCUCUCCCAGUUUGUUUCGGGCCCCACACAUCAAGCAGGCCACAUGCUGGAUUUGAUCUUUGGUGUAGGUAUAGAUGUGAUCAUGUCUCCUUCGAUGAAGGUGCCAUGGUCUGAUCACUACGCUCUGAAAGCCAGGAUUGACUUUCCACCCCCACCCUGCUUAGGUGACGAGCCGAUUUGGGCUCGCCUGCAGAGGCUGAUGGACCCUUAUAGAUUCCGUCAAGCCUUGUGGGACCUUGCUCCCCCUGGUGACUCAUUGACUGAGCUUCUUGAGGGCUGGAAUACCCAGCUCCUGGCAGCCAUUGAUGAGAGCGCACCUAAGCGCCCUCUGCGACCCCGCAGAAACCGGGCUCCGGAAGCGGAACCUCAGACGGCUAGAGCGAGUGUGGCAGGGUGCCCGCAAUGGAGCCUCAAGAACAUCUUACAGGGUUUUUAUGAAAACCUACGAGAUGGCAGUGAAGGCCGCUAAGAAGUCUUACUUCUUGGCCUCCAUUGCAUCCGCUAGCUCUCGCCCGGAGCAAUUAUUUAGUAUAAUUAGGUCUUUAACAUCCCUGGAGGGACAGCCAAAUUUAAAUAAUAAUUUGAUACACAGCUGUGAGGCAUUUGCGAGCUUUUUUGCGGAGAAGGUCCUGUUGCUCCACCGUGACCGUGACCUCCCUGCCAAUUUGGAUACAAUAACAGAACUGGAGGCCCCUUGACUGUCCUCGGAUCCAAUAUUGGACCACUUUGACCGGAUAUCCCCAGCCGAUGUGGACAGACUCCUCCGAGCUGGAAAGCCCACCACCUGUCCUCUUGACACGUGCCCGUCCUGGCUGAUUAAAGCAUGUCCAGACGAGGUGCGGACCCCCCUAGGGGAUAUUAUCAAUUUCUCCCUUGGCACCGGGACAUUCCCAGGGGAACUGAAGGAGGCAGUGGUGCGCCUGCUCUUAAAGAAAACAUCAUUAGAUCAUUUAGAUCUAUCCAAUUACCGCCUGGUUUCGAAUCUUCCGUUCCUGGGUAAGGUGAUUGAGAGAGCGGUUGCUGAACAGCUUGGUGGGUUUCUGGAUGAAACAUCAGCUCUGGAUCCAUUCCAAUCCGGCUUCCGCGCUGGUCAUGGGACCUAGACGGCUCUGGUUGCCCUAACAGAUGAUCUCCGCAGGCAGCUGGAUCGAGGCGGGUCGUGGCUGCUGAUUCUUCUAGACCUGUCAGCAGCCUUCAACAUGGUCGAUCACGAACUCCUGGACCACCGCCUUGCCGACGUGGGGAUCCAGGGCACAGUCCUUCAAUGGCUGCACUCGUUUCUCUCUGGUCGGGGACAGAGGGUGGUGCUUGGAGGGGAACUGUCAUCACGCCACUCCUUGGUGUGUGGAGUGCCUCAGGGUGCAAUACUCUCCCUGAUGCUUUUCAACAUCUUUAAGCGACCCCUCGCCCAGCUUGUCUGGAGUUUUGGGUUGGGCUGCCAUCAGUAUGCUGAUGACAUCCAACUCUAUCUGUUGAUGGAUGGCCAUCCUGACUCGGCCCCAGACACACUGAUCAGAUGUUUGGAAGCUGUGGCUGGAUGGUUACGUGGGAGCAGGUUAAAGUUAAAUCCUUCGAAGACAGAGGUCCUCUGGCUGGGACGGGACGAUAUGGGAUUGAGGGGGCA